GAUCAUGGCUCGGGAUGAACGCUAGCGACAGGCUUAACACAUGCAAGUCGAGGGGCAGCAUGAGGUAGCAAUACCUUGAUGGCGACCGGCGCACGGGUGAGUAACGCGUAUGCAACCUGCCCGAUACCGGGGUAUAGCCCAUGGAAACGUGGAUUAACACCCCAUAGUACUUUUAUCCUGCAUGGGAUGUGAGUUAAAUGUUCAAGGUAUCGGAUGGGCAUGCGUCCUAUUAGUUAG
rnacentral:rRNA from 1 species